rnacentral:rRNA from 1 species
GAGUGGACGCAUCACUGGUGUUCGGGUUGUCAUGCCAAUGGCACUGCCCGGUAGCUAAAUGCGGAAGAGAUAAGUGCUGAAAGCAUCUAAGCACGAAACUUGCCCCGAGAUGAGUUCUCCCUGACUCCUUGAGAGUCUUGAAGGAACGUUGAAGACGACGACGUUGAUAGGCCGGGUGUGUAAGCGCAGCGAUGCGUUGAGCUAACCGGUACUAAUGAACCGUGAGGCUUAACCUU